UACGUAGGUGGCGAGCGUUGUCCGGAUUUACUGGGCGUAAAGAGCGCGCAGGCGGUCGUACAAGUCGCGUGUGAAAGCCCCCGGCUCAACUGGGGAGGGUCACGCGAUACUGUUCGACUCGAAGGCAGGAGAGGGAAGCGGAAUUCCCGGUGUAGUGGUGAAAUGCGUAGAUAUCGGGAGGAACACCAGUGGCGAAGGCGGCUUCCUGGCCUGUUCUUGACGCUGAGGCGCGAAAGCUAGGGUAGCAAACAGG
rnacentral:rRNA from 1 species